AACGCACCUUGCGCCCCUUGGCUAUUCCGAGGGGGCAUGCCUGUUUGAGUAUCUUGAACACCUCAACUCUCAUGGUUUGCCAUGAUGAGCUUGGACCCUGGGGGUUUGCUGGCCUGUGGUCAGCUCCUCUCAAAUGAAUCAGCCUCCAAGUGUUUGGUGGCAUCACGGGUGUGAUAACUAUCUACGCUCGCUGUUGUCUGCCAGGUAACCUUUGGUGACAAAGGUUCACUGGAGCUCACAGAUGUCUCUCCUCAGUGAGGACAGCUUUAUGAACGUUCGAUCUCAAAUCAGGUAGGACUACCCGCUGAACUUA
rnacentral:rRNA from 1 species